UAGUCAUGGAAUUUCGAUACUCUUCCUAAUAAGUGAAAUAAUGAUAUCUGAACUAAAUAUUUUUAUGUUUGCAAGAAAGAAGAUGUUGAAAGCUUUCAUAUCCUGAAAGAUAGGCUAAAUUAAUUCUUUAAAUGAAUUUUAUAUAUUCAAGAAUAUUUAAAAUGUCAAAUUAUUCGAUAAAAAAAGAAAAGAUUCUGCCUCAACAUCAUAUUGCAUAAGAUACAUAUUAGCGCCAAGACACUAUCGUGUCUCCAGAUUUUCGUCCCUGAAUGAUUCUGGUUGACUUUUAAUUAAAAUACUAUUUAAUCGAAAUGUAGAUCGUACAUUUAUGCCACUAAGUGUCGCAAGCUAUCAAAUAUAACAGAUUUUUAUUUACCGAAGAAACCGUGAAGAAAAAAAUACAGUACAAUAACGAUGUUCACAAAAAAGUCAUAUUGAAUAAUUUCCAACCUCAAGAGAGAUGAGUUACAGCAAGUUUUUAAAGAAUUUUAUUGACUUCUGCUUCUCAAUAUAUUGAGAUAUGCCGUCAAGAAAUUGCUUACUAUCGUAAAAGGAAUAAUCUGCUUGAACAUCUUACGCAAAACUGUAUAAGAUAAAAUUUUAUUUUGAAUGAAAUCUUAAUAGUAAUUUAAGACUACAUCACAAUAAUUAUAAUUGAGACCAUAGAUCAUAAGGUAACAAAUAUCAUUAAGAAAUAGACUGUCAGAUGCAUCAAAUCACCACCCACUGAAAAAACAUCUAAGAAGAAAAAAGAAAGAAUCGUAGUUUUGUUCCUUCAAAAUGCUAAAUAAAAUUGUUUACUCUGAUUCAGUACGAGAAGGAAGUUCUAUUUUCUACAUUAAAAAAAGAGCUUAUAUCUAUGUGUAGAAGAAUAUGAAAAAAUGCAGUGGCGUGAUUGAUUGUCGUUUAUGCUCCUGAAGAGGUCGCCAAUUUUUAACUACUUACGCUAAGUCGCCAAUUUUUAACUACUUACGCUAAGUCGUAGUUCGAUGAUUGAAAUAAAAAUUGAACAUAUGAUACCGAAAAUUAUUACAUUAAAAGCUUUCAAAAUGUUAAAACAACGAUGUAGGGUUGCCACCUUUUUGAGUUUGAACCAAAAACUCCGGAUUUUGAAGAUUUAUGUCCGAGUUUGGGUUUCGUUACUUCUCGAGGUUGCAUAAAAUGUAAAACAUCUUAUAUAGUUUUUACCGAAAAAAAUUCCCUGAAUGUACAGCAUUGGGAAAAAACUAAGAAGGGCGUUUCGAAUAAGAUGUAUACAUUACGAUGUUAUAUUUAUCGAUGAACUGUUAAGAAUUUUAUAAAUUUAUCAAGAAAUUUGAAAAUAUGGAGCUUGUUAAAACUGCAAAUAUUUAUAGAAGUGAAGCCAAUAAAAAUAAUAAUUUAUAUAUUUAUUGUGUAAUCGUGUACAU